CUCCCUUAUAGUUUAUCGAAAUUACACAUGUAUUUAAGGAUUUGAACGAAUUACGCCCCCUUCCAUGUAAUUUCUAAGAUUUUUACAAUUAGAUCCAAUCUGUUAGCCUAGGUUAAAAUGGGACUGUUAGUUGUUGAAAAUGCCCUUAUAUACACAUGAAGCUUCCCGUCAUUGUCUUCAGCCCACCCCCAACGCCGGAGAAGAUGACCGAAAUCAUGCAUCCAAAGUAUGAGUUUGAUGCUGGUGGCUGAAGCUCUUGCUUUCUACCCAAUGAGUCCCAGGUCAAAGAAUCAAGGUAGUUUCUUCGCCGAGUUUGAGUGUAGAAUCGGAGCCGCCUUCUUCCUGUCGAGUCAUCGACCCACCUAUGAAUUACAAAUCCCUUUUUUCAACUCACCUGAUCGGUUUAUCCCUAACGCCAUUAAGAAGCAGUCGAGAUUUAGUCCAGAAAUCAACAUUACUCCUUAUGCCUUCAUGGCAGGACAUCUGGAAAUCCUUCAGAUUGACAAAUCGGGAUGAGUUGGGAGAGUAAUCAGAUGAUUUCUUUGAAGAGGAUCUCGUCGCAUGGAAUGGCCAGACGCGUCUGCGCUUUUAUUUCAUAUGCACAUUUAACUCUCGUGUUUUAUUUUCCUUUGUCUUGAUCUUUUCAUGAGGUUGCUUAUUUUACUUAGAUAUAUUGUUCACGUUGUGGCUACUUUUUCCCAUUUUUUAUUCUUUGCAUUUCCACAGACUGGUAGUUUGCAGCUGAGCAGUUUGUUAGGAGCUUCCCAUACAAAGUGAUUGUCCAUUGUUGAGUCUAGAUUCGACAACAAUCUGAUGGCCCCAGCGGUGCCGAUACAGAUGUCGGAGCCGGCGAUAACGGAAUAGUCAAUGAAGGCAACGAUCUUGGUGCGAGGGAAGAAGGCCGCGACGUGCGGGAGGUCAAGCAUCUCAUGGCCGAAGGUUAGGCUGCAUUUGCAGCCAUUUCUGUUCCAUAAACGACGUUUUAUGUCAAAAACAAAAAUUUCAGUUUC